UACGGAGGGGGCAAGCGUUAUUCGGAAUUAUUGGGCGUAAAGGGCGCGUAGGCGGCUAGAUGUGUCAAAGGUGAAAUCCCUCGGCUCAACUGAGGAACUGCCUUUGAAACUGUCUGGCUUGAGGCCGGGAGAGGGUAGCGGAAUUCCCAGUGUAGCGGUGAAAUGCGUAGAUAUUGGGAGGAACACCAGUGGCGAAGGCGGCUACCUGGACCGGUUCUGACGCUGAGGCGCGAAAGCGUUGGUAGCAAACAGG
rnacentral:rRNA from 1 species